UACGGGGGGUGCUAGCGUUAUUCGGAAUCAUUGGGCGUAAAGGGCGCGUAGGCGGUCGCUUAAGUCAGAUGUGAAAGCACUCGGCUUAACCGAGGAAGUGCAUUUGAUACUAAGUGACUUGAGUAUGGGAGAGGGAAGCGGAAUUCCUGGUGUAGCGGUGAAAUGCGUAGAUAUCAGGAGGAACACCGGUGGCGAAGGCGGCUUCCUGGACCAAUACUGACGCUGAGGCGCGAAGGCGUGGGGAGCAAACAGG
rnacentral:rRNA from 1 species